GAUCGAACAGAGGCAUAUUUGCUUCAUCACCGAAGUUCAGUGUUAAAAAAAAUCAUCUAGUAUUCCCAAUGGCCGAAGUUCAAAGUUUUCUUCAUUAAGAUUUAUUGUUUUGACUGAUUUAGAGAACGAUAAAUAUAAAAUUCACAACUUGUUUUGUUCUUUUUCCCUCUUUGCCUUUUGGCAUCAUUUUGGCAUUUUUCAUCAUAUCUAAAAUGAACUAAUUACUAUGAUAUGAUGUUCAAAUAAUAAUGAUUGGUUAAAUCAUUUUGAUAUAGAUUUUUAUUUUAUUUUUACAUUGAAAAAUACAUGUGUGAUCAAUAUCCCGCAAAAAGGGCAUAUCUUCAAGCUUCAUGGUGAAGGUAAGUUUCAUUUUUCAAUGAAUUAUUGGGGAAUCAUUUGAAUUUUAACAAGUAGAGAAUAAAGCAAACCCAAUAAUAAUAAUGUGUCCAUGAAAAUGAAGACAUGUGACACAUUUGUUUUCAAAGGAGAAUCGUGUGGGUUUACUUUCAGAAAUUGAUAAGACUACUCCUACAUGGAUCGAUCACCAGUCUCCACUUUUUCCAAUAAUUCGAUCGGAGAGUAAAAACCUUUCGGAAUAGUGUUAUAUUGAAGAAUUUUGUUUUAUAAUUAUAAAGUAACUGGAAAAUUGAUCUUUAGUUUAAUAAUAUGCGAUGCAAUAUGUGAAUUGCAGUGAUCAUGAACUUAAACUCGGGCAUCUCUCUCACUAUAUAUGAACACACUGAACUUGGAUUGUCUGUUAUAACUUAUAAGAUUCAGAGUCCGACUAAGGAGAAGCUUUUUGUAAUGACAUCGUGAACAAACGCAAAUAAUUUUGGAAGAAAGCAUAUCAAAACGAAUUGAGUCAAAUACAUGUUUAAAGUUUCUUAUUAUUAUGUAAAUGUAUAGUUUUACAAACUCUUAGAUCCGUAGUUUUACAAUAGUUUGGCAGACAAAACCAGAGCCGGUCUUGGAAGGAAGCUAAUGAAGCUUCUGCUUCCGGCCGCACAAUAUUAUGAUUUUAAACGGCCACAUUUGGACAGAAAGUCCUUAGUAUCUUAGUGGUUUGGCUUGGUGUUGUUAGUGUUCAAGGUCGUGGGUUCAAGUGACUUCAGCCACAUUUUUUAUUUUGGCUUCUAACCACUUAAUUACUAAGACCGGCUCUGGACAAAACAUGUGUGGCCUUGGCUCAUCAUUAUUGAAAAAAGAAAUAAAACUUGUCUAGAAAAAAUAAAUUUCCUAAACCGAAAAAGCAUACCGUACCGCGGAGUCUGUGGCCUAUGCACCCCAGAGGUCAAUCUUGAUAGCGUCCAACGAAUGUUGGGUUUUUACUGGUUCACAGAUAUUUAAGACACAUCUUGAUGCAACAAAUGAAAACUAAUUUCUUUAAUCAAUGUUUUUGACAUCAUUCUUUAAAUCAAUACAUAAGUUGAUUACUGGAGUUUUGUUCGAAAACAAAAUGAGUUUGAACAUAAGAAAAAUAAAAGGAAAUUCGGAGAACACGCAUGAAUAAGUGACAUGCAGUGAUUGGUGAGCUAAAUAAUUUUCUGGAUGUGACAGUUUACUUAUGCCCAUGCAUUAGCUUAAAAAAAUUGAACUGUCGAAAUAUAAUCCUUUGUUUAUUUAUUUUUUUUUUUUUUUUUUUUUUGGUAAAAUGUUAAAUAUUAUACCAAUUUUUCAAUUUUGACAGACAUUACAAUAGACGACUAGUAGCAGAAAAUAAACGACAAAAUGACACCAUAACAAACUACGGACAACACCAAAGACCGAACCUAAGAGCAAUACAAUACAAGCGAUAAAACAGAGUGAUAACGAGACAGCCUCAGACCAAACUACUCUAGAACUAAAUGAAGAAACCAACCGGUUACCGCGAGCUACCGAGAGAAGGGUGCCCUCAAACCCUGAUUGCAACGGCUCCUACAGCUUCCAACUGAUACUCCAUCGCGAACUAAAGCUAAGAAUCCAAGCUCGAGCCCCAAAGUAGGCCUGGUAAAAGAGACCACCGACGGUACGAGGAGAAGCCGAAGUCCGACGAUGCCGUCGUUCGAUGGUUUGCGCCGAAGAAUACCGCCUCCAUUGCAUUCCACCAAGACCGUAUACACCCAUCUAACCGGACUCCAUAUAGAAGUAACGGAUCGGAAGACGGACAACCCUCCGGAAGAGACAAAACCAAAGCCAUACUUGGUGCCUGUAGUCGAAUCAUCGCACCAAAAAACCCACUCGAGCUGAUGAGGCCCGCAAGCCACAGAGACAAUGAUGUUGCGAUUAUUGGAGAAGAGCAAGCAGCAGAGCAGGCCACUUCGCCAACACCACACCAUCUGAGGAGAGGAAUUAGCAGCAACCAGCAGCUAGAGCCGAAACUAGAGCGAACCAGAGCCACCAAAGACCAUCCACGCACAGCCACAGAGAGUCACUGACAGAGAGCCAAAGCACCACCACCAACGAAACCCUGUGCGCCACCACCACUGGAGAACGCAGCGGAGGUUCCUCAAAGAAGCAGAGGAAACCGGCAAGAAACCAGAUCCCCAACACCACAUGCAGAUUCACCCACCACCGGACGAACCAGAAGAAGAACGAAGCCGACUUGGCGCUUGAAGGCGCAGCACCACUACCACGCUCGGAGAAACAAGUCUACGUCACGGGAAAACUUCUGAGAACCCCAAAACCAGACCAGGAGCAACAGCGACGCCGGAAAAGCCGUCCUCAAGCGAGUCCGUACACCGAGAGCCUAGAUCUGAGAAGUGGAGCACCAGAUCUGAGACGAGACAAGCGACUCCCUCCACCGAGAACAACGAAGAAGACGGGAGAGAGACAGAAACAGAGAGAAACAGGAAGACGGAGGUCCGGCGGCCGCGAGAGGAGGCGGCGGCCGCCGGAGAGAGCUAGGCAAUUAGGGUUUUGCUCUUAGAGAGAAGGUAGAGGGUCUGGUUUAGAGAGAGAGAGAAGGUAAGGCGUUUGUUUAUUCGUUCCCUUGUUCUUGUUUAUUUAUUUUGUUUACCAUAUGUAUCAUUUGUUGUGACAAGAGUUGAUUUCCGAUGCAGCAAUGCUUAAUGAUUUUAGAUUGUAUACUUUUCUGAUUUAUCCACGUAUAUGUGUGGGACGUUUAUAAAAUUGUACAUCUAUAGUUGUCUUGUAAUGGGGGAGCAAUUACAUUGAAGAUGGAAUAAGUCGUUUUCUAACCUACGUUGAUUUUGAAAUUAAUUUGAGUCGUAGACUUGGAUUAAUAAUGAAGAACGUGAUAAAAUCGACAAAGUGGAACAAAUUUACUGUGUAAACUAUUUUAUUUAUGUUACAAUUUUGUAAUGCGUUUGCAUUAGUAUUAGAAAAUCCUAUCAUACGUAUAUAUAUAAGAAUAUGCUUAAACAUAUAUAUCAGAUAUUACGUGAAUUUUUCUACAUAAAUUGUUUUAGUGUGUUGUUUGGGUAAUAUUUUUUUUAAAUUAAUUAAAAUAUAAAUAGCUAACUUAAUUCAAAUACGAUGAUAGUUGGUCUUUAAGAUAGCCAUGCUAAUUAUUUUCUUAGGUGCUAAUUAAGUGGCAAAAAAAAAAGAAAAUAGAGAUUGUGAGAGUUUUAAACCCUUAACUUUUAGGUGUGAAGAUUUCCAAAAUCCUAAUCUUAUGCUAUUGUUUGCACGUAUAAACGCAUAAUUUAAUCAAUUAUGUAUGUACGUGUUUAUGAUACAAUGUACACACGUAAAUGUAUACUUCUCGAAAACAUGUUACUAAUCAUUUUUAUCCACCACUUAUAGAAACGAUAUGCGUAUGCAAUCAUUUUGGAUAAUAUUUUCGACUUGUAAUUGAGUUGUACCUCAAUUCACACAAGAAACACAAUAUACAUACAUGGAUGGAUGGCCUUGGGCAUAGUCAAUAAAACAUUAAAAUAUGGUUCACAAAUUUUAAAAUAAUUUACUAGAUAAAGGUAUUAAAAUUUUAGAGCUGGCCUGACCAUGUAUGCACAACGCGAACCAGUUAAGUAUUUCAAAUUUGUGAAAUGAAAGAGUUUUGAGUCUGAUGUGUGCACUAAGGCUAAAUUAAGCAUGCCAACUUCAAUUUGUUUCACCUAUACUUUUCUUUCUGAAUUCUAAAAAUAUAUGAUGGUAUCAGAAAGACUGAAGUAAUUGAUAUAUGUAUAUAACAUAUUUAUAUGAUGUGGGUGAAUAAGCAAAGUAACUACAUAGUUUAUCAUGUUAGAUUAUUAUAAGCGAAUCCACUAAACAAAAUUAUAAGCAUUAAGAAUUGAUUUUCUAUCCGUAUAGCUACAUGUCUGAAUGUGCAUGUAUACGUAGAUACGUAAGAAUGCGGAGAGGUUGUGCAAUGGAACAUGGAUGACAGAAUGGUCUACUCUAUUUAAUCCGCUAGCAAAGUAGCAAAGCCCUAGACGGACAAAGUUGGCAAAUUGACUUUCAAAUCUUACAAAUCAAAUUUAUAAACCAAUUUUAUAAGAUAAUCUAAAUUGUAUGCUAAAUAAUCGCUUAAGAACAUUAUCUCCUUCUUUUCCAAAUUACGUAAGACUACUGCCCAUCAUAAUUAAUGUUUUAGUAAAUAUACAGAUGAGAUUUAGUAAAACAUACCCUAAUGCUCAAAAUACAUCUGUCAACCAACCUAUUUAGAUUUGAUUGUAUUAUCAUCCUGCAUCUGCAUCCAUAUCUAGUUAAAUAUAUAUGUGCAUAUAUCAUGUAUUGCAGACUAUCUGACCUACUCACACUAUCCAGAUUUUUCGAUUCAAAUCAAAACAGAUAAUGAAUUAAAAGUCUAGUUAUACAUAUAUUAUUUUUAUUAUUUACGGAUAGACUGGAAAAAAUAUUCGUAAAUGUUUUAUUCGAUUCGUUAUCCGUUUUGAUUCGAACCAAAAAAUUCGGAUAUUCGUAAUACUACGAAGCAAAUCAAAUACUAAAAUGCAAUAUAUGUAAAAGACGAAGUAAAUCAAAAAUACGAAUACUCUUAGGAAUGUAUAUUCGAUUAUUUUUUAAAAAAAUAUUUUAUUUACGGAUCAAAUCGGAAAUCCGUGAAAAUUCUAAAAUUUUCCGGAUAUUUGAGACACCAAAUAUCCGGGUGGCUACGGAUCGAAUCGACAUUAAUCCCUCCAAAUACAUGGAUAUUCGAUCUGUGCUCACCCCUAUUUACGAAUACAAUUUAAUUUUCUUUAUAUGAAAGAAAAUUCACUAAUGUCUAAGUUUAAUUUAUUUUUAAUUAAUUGUAUUUUAAAAAAUUUAUCUUCCAUGUGUUAUUUUGAAUACAAAUGUUAUUUUGAAUACAAAUGUCAUUUAAUAUUGAUUAACAAUAUCUUUAUAUAUUUACCAACUACUUUUAUAUACUUUACAUACACAUACAUGUGAAUAUUGACGUGAACACUUGUAUAUAUAUACUAGGUGAUUUUUCCGUGCUCAUUCACAAGUAUAAAUAUUUAUAAAAUAAAUAUAUUAUAAUAAUUUAUUUACAUUAUAAGAAUUUAUUAAUAAUUUAUUUUAAAUUUUUUAUAAUUCUGUUAUUUAUAUUGUAAUAAACAUACAUGGUUUAUUUUAAAUAGCAUUAUGUUAUUUUAAUUAGACGUAUAAUUUUGGAUAUAUAAUAUCUUGACUGGUUAUUAUUUGGAUAUAUUAGAUAAUAUUUACUUUUUUGAUUCAACUAAGAUAUUUUUAUUAUACAUAUUAAAUUUUUGAUUACUUUUUUUGUUUUCAUGUAGUUUAAAUUUUUUUUUAGAUUUGUAUAAUUUAAUAUAUGUUGUUUUUAGAAUCAAACAGUAAAAAUAAACUAAAGUGUUGAUUGAUUCAAAGUUUCAUAAAUAAAUAUAACAAUGAUACUUAAUUGUAAUAGUUGGUUAAUAUAUUUAUAAUACUAUUUGAGAAUUUCGUAUUAAUUUAGUAAUAUUUUGAGUCGUCUAUAAUUUAUAUAUAUAAGAAUAUUACUAUAAAUAAAAAUAUAUUAUUUUUUAUUUAAUGUUUGACUUGUAUAAAAAAAUUGGAUUGGUCUAGAUACUCAUUUGUGGGUAUAUCGCGUUACAUAUAUUCCGUCAAAUUUUGUAUAACUAUUUCUAUCUAAUUCAACCAAAUCAUAUUUAUUGUAUUCAUUGCAUUAGUUUGGUUUUCAUCUUAGAUGUGUAUUAAAUUGACUAUUUGUAAUUUGUAAAUAGCCCACGACUAUGUUAAUUUUAUAGGAUUUAUUAGUUUGCUAUAUGUUAAUUUUCAAAAAUAAAAUUAUAAAAAUAAAAUGAUGAUAGGUACAAAAUUGCAUAAAAACAUAACUGGUACAUUCUAAAAAUGAAGAUUAAUUUUUUACUUUAAUAUCAAUAUUACUUUUCUAAAAUUUCAUUUUUAUGAAAUCACAUUAAAUAUAAAAAAUAUUUCUGUUUUAAGUUUUAUAAAUAUUUUCUUUAUCAUAAUUGUAUUUGAAAAAUAUAAAAGGGAAUAUAAAAAAGAAAGAUUAUAUUAAAUUUUAUUAAUGAAAGAUAUCUUAGUUUAUGUUAUUUAAAUUUUUUUGUAAUAAUUUGAGAAAUAAAUUGAUUUAAAUAAAAUGCUUAAUACUUUCAGAAUAUAUAUAUAUAUAUAUAUAUUAUGUUGUUUAAGAUUAUUUUAUUUUAAAGAAGAUUAUUUCUUUACUUUAAAAUCAAGACUAUUUUGUAAACUUUCUUUAUUAUGAAUUACGCUAUAUAUAAAAGAUAUUUUCGUUUUUGAAAUUUCUAAAAAAAAAUUAUUCUAUAGGUUAUUUGGAAAAAUGAAACCAAAAUAAAAAAGGAAAAUUAAAAUAAAAUAAAUAUUUAAUAAUGAUAAUUAGAUAUAUUUGAUUCAUUAAAGAUAUCAUAGUAAUCAACUAUCCUGAAAGUUAAUGUGAACGUGACACGUAUGAAACUAACUUUUCAAAUAAUAUUAUAGAGAUAUAUAUUCUGAGCACAAAUUGAUGUUCAAUUAAAGUGAUUAAAUUUCUCUAAUAUUAGAUAGUUUGCACGCGGUGUGAGGAGUUUUCUUUGUGCUUUGUUUUAUGUCGAUUCAACCCCAUCGGUUUGGCUUGUCAGACUGGUAGGAAUUUUUAGUUAAUUUUUGUUUGAUGUUGUUAAAAAAAAAAAGAUAGUGUAUAUCCAAAUCUCGGUUUAUUAUGAUUAA